AGAUAACAGGACACUGGAGAGACUAAAGAACAAAAAGUAAACUUUUUUUUUUUUUUUUACACAUGAAGAUUAUGGAAAAAGUGUUUGUUUGUACCAUAAUAUGUACAAGGCCAUAGCCGUUAAGAUAUCUGCAGAUUGUUCAUUUCUCCAUCAUCAUCAGUGGCAGCCAGAUUGUCUGCACUGAAUGAGCUCAGUAACAAAGCAAGGAACAAAUUCAGGACCUAGGAAAAAUGGAAAGUGGUAUAUUCCGGCUCUCUACGGGAAAGUUCAUAUGGGGCUGAUAUGCGGUUUAGAAAAAGGUUAGCAUAAGGUUAGGAGAAAACCAGUACUCAUUCCAUCGGGGAAGGAUCCAACUGAGUAUUUCAGGGCGGCAUACAGGAAGCAGGAGGGUGGACCGCCAUGCCUAGACUAAACUACUAUAGACUU